rnacentral:rRNA from 1 species
GACGAACCGUACGAACGUUAUUCGGAAUCACUGGGCUUAAAGGGUGCGUAGGCGGCUUGUUAAGUAGGGUGUGAAAUCCCCCGGCUCAACCGGGGAAUUGCGCCCUAAACUGGCGAGCUGGAGUGAGAUAGGGGUGUGUGGAACUUCCAGUGGAGCGGUGAAAUGUGUUGAUAUUGGAAGGAACGCCAGUGGCGAAAGCGACACACUGGGUCUCAACUGACGCUGAGGCACGAAAGCCAGGGGAGCAAACGGG